rnacentral:ncRNA from 4 species
GGGCCUGUAGCUCAGAGGAUUAGAGCA